UUUUGCUUUAUUUUAUAGAUUUUUCUCGUCUAUUUUUGAUGUCCUGUUAUCCGGUUUAAUUAGCAUACAAAUAUUAAAAAGAGAUAGUAGAUGAUUCCCGAUCUUCACCGUACUCAAAAGCCAUCUCUGCUGGACCCGAGAUCGAAUUCGGACGAGUAACCUCUAGCAAUUUCGAAGGAGGACUUUUAUUGGAAAAUGGUGGCUAUUUAGGUGUUAAAAACGUGAAGAAAACUCAGAAAACUCCACGUAUCCAGCCCCUGGCGGGGCUCAAACCUACGACCAGUGUUCAGUGGUUUUAUUCACUUGGCCACUGAAUUCGAAUUUAUCAAAAAAGGGGGUGUCUUCCAUCCUUACUUAUGCUGGUGAUCAAAUUGCUCUCCUGUUUUGGCAUAAUUGAAGUUGUUAAUCCACGUAUAUUGAUCGAAUAGUCUAUAACGUAGUGAUCUGUAUCACUCACUAAAAAUGUAUAACGUUACCGAUCAAUUAACAUUGAAAACUCAAAACUAAAUUCAAAAUAAAAUUUUGAAUAUAAAAUCAAACUAUAUCGGUUAAGCAGAAUGAUCGAUUAUUUUAGGUCUUCGGCCAUUUGCGCUGAUUCUUCUACUUCCAGAAUUUUAAACCUAAUUUCUAAUUUUCCAUUUUACCA